rnacentral:rRNA from 1 species
CCUACGGGUGGCAGCAGUGAGGAAUAUUGGUCAAUGGGCGCGAGCCUGAACCAGCCAAGUAGCGUGAAGGAUGAAUGCCCUACGGGUUGUAAACUUCUUUUAUAAAGGAAUAAAGUGAGGCACGUGUGCCUUUUUGUCUGUACUUUAUGAUUAAGGAUCGGGUAACUCCGUGCCAGCAGCCGCGGUAAUACGGAGGCACCGAGCGUUAUCCGGAUUUAUGGGGUUUAAAGGGAGCGUAGAUGGGGUGUUAAGUCAGUUGUGAAAGUUUGCGGCUCAACCGUAAAAUUGCAAUUGAUACUGGCAGCCUUGAGUACAGUUGAGGUAGGCGGAAUUCGUGGUGUAGCGGUGAAAUGCUUAGAUAUCACGAAGAACUCCGAUUGCGAAGGCGGCCUACUAAACUGCCACUGACAUUGAUGCUCGAAAGUGUGGGUAGCAAACAGGAUUAGAUACCCUGGUAGUC